AGUGGUCGCACUGUGCAUGCUCAGAAUCAAUGAGUGGGGGGAGGUGGAUGAGACAUGGCUAAACACCAGAGGCAGAAAAAAAUGGGACCAUAGCAUUCAACAAUACUGCAGGCUGAAGAACUGGGGUUCAGGGAAUCUUCAAGUCCCUGGAUGAGUGCAGCUUUGUGACAUGUGACUUGAAAAAAAGCAGCACCAUUAUGCAUUCAUUGCUCUACGGUGGCUGCUUCCAGAAGAGGAAAAGGCCACUUCCUUCAGCAUUCUCUGAACUAUAUGCCAUGUUUCCUCCUCUUGUUGGGAAGAAAAAGGAGGUCACCCACUGUCAAGCCUUCCUCUUACAGCUGUGCUGCACCACUUUACAUCCUACCAGAGAGGUCAUUUAGUAACCCAUGUAAAUGUCUGUAAGUACAUUUGUAACCCGCGUAGACCAUAUAAACCAUGUAAUACAAAUGUAACUCGCUCCUGCUUUUGCUAUUGAAAAGAAAACCAAUAAAGAGAGUAAUGGAUUGU